rnacentral:rRNA from 1 species
UGGGGAAUCAUGGUCAAUGGGCGAAAGCCUGAACCUGCGACGCCGCGUGAGUGAUGAAGGUCGUAAGAUCGUAAAACUCUUUUCAGGGAUCUUAAAGCACAACCGUCAACAACGGCUGUGUGUGACUCUCCUUGAAGAAGCCCCCGCCCACUACGUGCCAGGCGCCGCGGUAAUACGUAGGGGGCGAGCGUUAUUCGGAAUUAAUGGGUGUAAAGGGUAGGUAGGCGGCCCUUCAAGUCGCGUGUCAAAGUCCAGUGCUCAACGCUUGGUGUGCGCGCGAUACUGACGGGCUUGAGGGCUGGAGAGGUGAGCGGAAUUCCCGGUGUAGUGGUAAAAUACGUAGAGAUCGGGAGGAACACCAGCGGCGCAGGCGGCUCACUAGACAGUUUCUGACGCUAAGAUACGAAAGCGUGGGGAGCAAACA